AUACGGAGGAUCCGAGCGUUAUCCGGAUUUAUUGGGUUUAAAGGGAGCGUAGGCGGACGUUUAAGUCAGUUGUGAAAGUUUGCGGCUCAACCGUAAAAUUGCAGUUGAUACUGGGUGUCUUGAGUACAGUAGAGGCAGGCGGAAUUCGUUGUGUAGCGGUGAAAUGCUUAGACAUCACGAAGAACUCCGAUUGCGAAGGCAGCCUGCUGGACUGUGACUGACGCUGAUGCUCGAAAGGGUGGGUAACAAACAGGAUUAGAUGCCCUGGUAGUCCACACAAUAAACGAUGAAUACUGGCUGUUUGCGAUAUACAGUAAGCGGCCAAGCGAAAGCGUUAAGUAUUCCACCUGGGGAGUACGCCGGCAACGGUGAAACUCAAAUGAAUUGGCGGGG
rnacentral:rRNA from 1 species